GAUGAACGCUGGCGGCGUGCCUAAUACAUGCAAGUCGAGCGAACAGACGAGGAGCUUGCUCCUCUGACGUUAGCGGCGGACGGGUGAGUAUCACGUGGAUAACCUACCUAUAAGACUGGGAUAACCUCGGGAAACCGGAGCUAAUACCGGAUAAUAUAUUGAACCGCAUGGUUCAAUAGUGAAAGACGGUUUUGCUGUCACUUAUAGAUGGAUCCGCGCCGCAUUAGCUAGUUGGUAAGGUAACGGCUUACCAAGGCAACGAUGCGUAGCCGACCUGAGAGGGUGAUCGGCCACACUGGAACUGAGACACGGUCCAGACUCCUACGGGAGGCAGCAGUAGGGAAUCUUCCGCAAUGGGCGAAAGCCUGACGGAGCAACGCCGCGUGAGUGAUGAAGGUCUUCGGAUCGUAAAACUCUGUUAUUAGGGAAGAACAAAUGUGUAAGUAACUAUGCACGUCUUGACGGUACCUAAUCAGAAAGCCACGGCUAACUACGUG
rnacentral:rRNA from 1 species